rnacentral:misc_RNA from 1 species
ACUCUGAUCUUCUUGUUGUUGGAAUGUUGAAGACAGAAAUGCCCACAAGUAAUGAACAUCAUUAAUGCACACAUAGAAUGCACAAUGGAAGGAUACUGCAUAUCUUAUAGCAACACUUGAUUUUCAGAUAAACCAUUUAUAAUAUACAGCCCAUUCUGAGUGAUAAUCAUUACACAUAAAAGAAGGGUCAAAACUCAAAAUGAAGAGUAAAGGGAUGGAAAAAACAAUCCGGAUGCUAGACUAGCUGGAUCCUAACUUUUUGGUUCCAUUACUUGUGACAAAUUGCCUAUUCAUCACCCAUGGCCAACUCCAGUGCGUAGUCAUCCCUUUCCUGUUAGAUGAAGCACUCCGAGGUAAGAUAAAACAAUAACCAAACAUUUGCUAGUCUCCUUUUUCCUUCUAGAUCUAUCUCCUUCAUAUAUACGUAUAUAAUGAAAGAAAAAUAUCCUUCUAACUUCAUCUAUUUAUAUUAAACUUAAUAGCAUAAUUAUAGAACUCAGCACUUACAAUUGGUCCACGGGCAAAAUAUCUUCCAAACUGAAGCCAAUACACCUGUGACGCACCAGAAUUUAAUCAUGACCCAUCAUUCAUGCAAGCAAAUGUAAAUUCCAGUAUCUAAUAAGUUUAUAGUACUGCAACUCCUUUUUUAAGGAAAAAAAAACUCUCAUGUGAGGGGAUCAUUUAGAAACACAUGAAGAUACAUUCAAAUGCUCAUAAUUUAUUUUAAAAUGAUAAAAUCACAAUUCAAUUUAUACAAAUAUUGUAUAUCUAUUUAAAAUAUCUAAUGCACAUAAUAAUCUCUCAGCAUAAGGUUGAAACUUUUGAAUUUACCUCAUCCUCAUCUUGUGUUUCUACUUCAAGAUCAGAAGAUGGGAAACCUACGCAAAGAAGCGCAUAACCCUGCAUCACAAAUUUUCUAAGUAUGGAUUCCCAGGUAUUCUAAAAUAAGAGGAUGAAAGUAUCAUCAUUGAAUUGCACAUGUAACAUCAAGUUAGAACUUUCACAUAGUUCCAGCUAAGGGCUUGACUGGAAAAUUAUUGUCAAGAGAAUAAGAUAACUGUUGGAUUAAAUUUUUUUUCAGAAAAAAAAGAGCUAGAAAUUUUAAAAAAGAGUUACUUCAAAGAGCAAUUUUUUUUUUUCAAAAAUAAUAAUGUAAAGAUUAGGUUAGAAUCUUUUAUGGCUUUAGAAAAACUAAAUCUUGGCCAUAUCCACCCACUUUCAAAAUCUUAUAUCUUAAGCAAAAGGAAUAGAUAUAUUUCCAUAAUUUUAGAGAUCCUGUAUUAUGAAAUUAAAUCUACAUGGUAUUUAGUGUAUGUGAUUGAGGAACACCAAGAAUACGAUGCCAUCCAUUUCAUUUUGAAUAUACUUACUUCAGGUUUAGCAGCAAUGAUAAUGAUGAAGGAUAUCAAGUGGCCAGUUAAACUAAAAUCAUAUGCAAAAUAAAGAUAAUCAGAAGCAUCCUAAAAGAAAGUUGCCUUAAAUUAGACACUACCUAAUAAAGAUAUUUUUUUUUCCAAAAUAUGAGGACAUAUAGAAUCAAUUACCUUCUCCCUCCUUUUUUUACUGCUGAAAUACAGGUGAACAGAAAGCCUAGAAAAAGAACUUUUAAUUCCUGUGUUAUAUUGUGUGCUAUCAGAAAAUAGCAUCAUGUUCUAUUGAGAGAUGUCUACAGAUCAACAAAAUUCAAACUUGCCAUUCUUUCUUUCCCAAACCAUCAUAUCCAUCAAACAGAACCUUAGGUCAUUGCCUUGAUAAAUAAAUAAGUAUUCCAUUUUUAGCCACGAUUCACACAAUUUACACAAAGUUCAGCAUCAAUAAUAAAGAACUUUCAAAUAUCAGCCUCUUAUGUAUCUGACCAGUAAAAUUCUAAAAUAGGAGGUAAGCCUCAUGCCUUUGAUUUCAGUUCUGCAGAUAUCCCUAGUGCUUCUGGCUGUCUAAUAUGUCCAGAUUUUACACGUACAGCACAGCUAGUGCAACAACCUGCAAGCACAGAGCUUUUCAUCAAGGACAAUUUUGAACAGUAAGGACAAGAACAUUUUUUUUAGAAGUUAAACAGGGAUGACUUUUCUUUCUAACAUUCACAAAGAAUUAUUUCUCAGAAAGCCUAUCAUUAAAAAAAAAAGUAAUCUGUUCAUAAAAAUAUAAGAAGUGGCAAUAUUGAUAUUCAAAUGAAGGAAAGUUGCACUUGCACCUCAUUGCGUGCACAAAGCAUGUUCCAGUUUUAAUUCAUGCUAACACUACAUGAACCUUAUUUGUUAUCAAUGCAUUCAAAAUGAUGCAAUAUGCAGAAAGAAUUAAAAAAAAAUACUAAUAAAAUGAGUAAAGAACAAAAAGUUAAUUAUUUCACCGGAGAAGAUGACUGCUAGCACAGGAACAUGAGAUGGGAGUGUUUCCUCAUCCGCCAACUCACUUGUCCUAGUAGUUCUGACUCAAAGUCUAUGGCAGGGCUAGGUGGCACAAUCCACACAUCUGAUUCUUAUUCAAGCAUGCAUUUUUUAAUCAUUCUGUAGGCAUCUCAUCUCACCAAAAACUAUUAGAUUUAUACUGAAUACACUUAUGUACCAAAUGACAGAAGUCAUAAAGAAACAUGAGUGGGUGUGAUCUCGCUGAUCUAUGAGAAGGGCUUACUUUCCAAGUAGAAGACCUAUAGCAUGUGCCUCAGAGCCUAUUGACCUCAGGAGUUUACUUCUCAAAGGUGAAGCACUCAGGUACCAAAAUUGUCCAAGGAACACAAGUCCUUAGGAAUUUGGAUGCCUAAAGUGCUAUGCCCUUAAAAUAGACUUUGGCAGAGUUCAUAUUUGGGAAAAUAGAAGCUCCAUAAGAGUCUUCACUAAGUGGCUAUAAUGAUGGAUAGCAUAAGUAUCUAACCAAGAACAUCACUUGCCUUUUAGCUAACCUGAAAGGGAGGAAAGCUGAAUCUCAGACCUUGUCCCUCGCACCGCAUUCUUAUUUCAUCCCUGUUAAGAACACCUCUCUCUCUAUUAACAGGUAAAAGUCCAUUUCAAAAGUCACAUCACGAUCUGGCAUUUCCUUAAAGGAGACAACUUAAUCCUCCAACCCUAUUUUCUCAAUUCAUCACUUCAAUCAUUGAUGAGAACAUGAAACUUUAAUACUUAACAUGAAACUUUAAUACUUGCUAUAUCUUUUCAAGGUAACAGUGCACAUGAUAUGGCAAAAUUAUGCAUAAAUCUAAAUUUUUUACGUUGAAUUUUAUCACUUAUGAGUGUGUUCCUUGAAAAAUAAACAAUAAAGGUGGUGACAAUUUAUACCUUCCAAUCACCUAAAUUAAUCUUCAAUGCUGAGUUAAAGCUGAGAUGGAAAUAUUUAGUCUACCUGUGUGCUUGAGGGUAGAAAAAAAACCUAACUCAAAUAGACAUGGCAAGUGAACCAACCAUUAAUAAUGGGCUUCAUAAAGGAUUUUCCCAAAAACCACUUUUUAUCAACUUGUUUAAUUAGUUUUUAUGGGACAACUCUUGUUAAUUAGUCCAUUACUAUAAUGGAUAUUAACUGGAGUCAAAUUUUUGGAUGUGUUUCUCAGUGAUGAUACAUACCAUGUCAGUAUUUGUUUUUGACACUUCAGCACAUAUAUACAGUAGCAGAUGUA